rnacentral:rRNA from 1 species
GACGAACGCUGGCGGCGUGCUUAACACAUGCAAGUCGAACGGAAAGGCCCCUUUUGGGGUACUCGAGUGGCGAACGGGUGAGUAACACGUGAGUAACCUGUCCUUGACUUCGGGCUAACUUCAGGAAACUGGGGCUAAUACCGGCUAGGAAUCCUUGCUGCAUGGUGGGGGUUGGAAAGCUUUGGCGGGUUUGGAUGGACUCUCGGGUUAUCUGAUUGUUGGGGGGGUAGUGGCUUACCAAGGCUUUGACGGGUAGCCGGCCUGAGAGGGUGACCGGCCACAUUGGGACUGAGAUACGGCCCAGACUCCUACGGGAGGCAGCAGUGGGGAAUAUUGCACAAUGGGCGGAAGCCUGAUGCAGCAACGCCGCGUGCGGGAUGACGGCCUUCGGGUUGUAAACCGCUUUCAGCAGGGGCGAAGCUUGUGGUGACGGUACCUGCAGAAGAAGCACCGGCUAACUACGUG